CCUACGGGUGGCAGCAGUGAGGAAUAUUGGUCAAUGGCCGAGAGUCUGAACCAGCCAAGUCGCGUGAGGGAUGACGGCCCUACGGGUUGUAAACCUCUUUUGUCGGGGAGCAAAGCGAGUCACGUGUGCCUCAUUGCGUGUACCCUAUGAAUAAGCAUCGGCUAACUCCGUGCCAGCAGCCGCGGUAAUACGGAGGAUGCGAGCGUUAUCCGGAUUUAUUGGGUUUAAAGGGUGCGUAGGGGGGGGUGCAAGUCAGUGGUCAAAUUGCGGGGCUCAACCCCGUACUGACGUUGAAACUGCAGCCCGUGAGUGAGCGAGAAGUAUGCGGAAUGCGUGGUGUAGCGGUGAAAUGCAUGGAUA
rnacentral:rRNA from 1 species